rnacentral:rRNA from 1 species
AGAACGAACGCUGGCGGCAUGCCUAAUACAUGCAAGUCGAACGAACUCUUCGGAGUUAGUGGCGCACGGGUGCGUAACGCGUGGGAAUCUGCCCCUUGGUUCGGAAUAACAGUUGGAAACGACUGCUAAUACCGGAUGAUGACGAAAGUCCAAAGAUUUAUCGCCAAGGGAUGAGCCCGCGUAGGAUUAGCUUAGUUGGUGAGGUAAAGGCUACACCAAGGCAACGAUCCUUAGCUGGUCUGAGAGGAUGAUCAGCCACACGUGGGACUGAGACCACCGGCCCAGGACUCCGUACGGGAGGCAGCAGGUAGGGAAUAGUGGACAAGUGGGACGAAAGGCCUAGA